GGGUAUGUACUUACUACAUAACGUAUCAAUCUUUCGCCUUUUACUAAAGAUUGCCGUGUAGUAGGUAUAAUAAAUACGUUAUACCACAAAUUUUUGUCGCGUCAAUUUUGACGUG
rnacentral:snRNA from 1 species